GAUGAACGCUGGCGGCGUGCCUAACACAUGCAAGUCGAACGAACAGACGAUGAGCUUGUUCCUCUCACGUUAGCGGCGGACGGGUGAGUAACACGUGGAUACCCUACUUAUCUUUCUGGGAUAAUUUCGGAAAACCGGAGCUAAUACCGUAUAAUCUCUUGAACCGCAUGGUUCAAUGGUGAAUGACGGUUUUUCUGUCUCUUAUAGCUGCUUCUGCGCCGCAUUGGAUAGUUGUUAAGGUAACGGCUUAUCAAGGCGACGAUGCGUAGACGAACUGAGAGGGGGAUAGGCCACACUGGAACGGAGACACGGUCAAGACUCCUAAGAGAGGCAGCAGUCGGGAAUCUUAGGCAGUGGGCGAAAGUAUGACGGAACAAGCGCGCGUGAGAGACGAAGGCGUUCGGAGCGUAAAGAUCUCUUACUGGGGAAGAACAGAUGUGGACGGAAACAAAGAGGUAGUGACGGUACCGAAUCAAGAAGCACCGGCUAACUACGUG
rnacentral:rRNA from 1 species